GUUGUGCUCUUUUUGGGUUGUUCGGUUCUUUGAUUGACCCAUUUAAGAUUUAAGGUUUUGUAUAUUUUGUUGUGUUUGUUUUAGUGCGUUGGGACAUUGGUUGUGAGUUGUAUCAGUUUGACAUUUUGGUAUACUGUUCCUUCAUUUAUUUAUUCAUUCAUUAGCAUGAUUUGAUGCUAGUAUGAAAAUUUAAACUGAAACUUUGGAAUUGGAUGUUACUUGUGAAAUUUAGAAUGAUAAGGACCAAAAAUGAGAAUUGGAUUGAAAAGAUCAAGAUAUAAUGCAAAUUUUCAGAGUUCACUGCAAAAUAACACUUAGAUAACCUUAACUGGUUGGGUUGGGCAGAUUAGCUUUUUAUUGGUAGCUUAAAGGUCUUUAUUGCAUGAGACUUGAGAAGCACUUGGAUAAUCAACAUUUACCCUUAAGAAUCAUACAUCUUUUUAUUCUAAAAUGUCUCUACU
rnacentral:misc_RNA from 1 species